rnacentral:lncRNA from 10 species
GGCUUUGGGGAGGGGGGUCCCGGCUGACUGAUGAGAACUCCAAAUGCUCCCCAGCCCCGGCUGCUAAUCACUUCCAGAUUGGCCGGGUCAGGGCCAGGGCCGCCGCCGCCUGGCUCCAUAAACAGCCCGUCGCUCCAGAUGGCGGCUGGCUCCAGCCUGGCGAGCAGGUUCAUGGGGGACUGGGGGGUGGCAGCAGGUGGAGGACCCCCACCUCACUAGCCGCCUCAGCUGCCACACCUCCACACCGCCCUGAGUUGGGGACCCUGGGCCAGAAGGGGUGGCAGAAACUGAACCCAUUGCUCAGAGGAGGGAAACUGAGGCCCGGAAGGGGCAACGUGGGUGGUGGUCAAGGUGGGGGGAAGACAGAGAUGUAAGGGGGGUGCUCCUUGAGGGUUGAUGCUGGGUUCACUUUACCUCUGUGAAUCCAGCACACCAUGAGGAUGCCGUAAAGACCCGAGGAGGGAGGGAAGGGGGGCAUCAUUGCCAGCUGGGUUUAAAUUCUGGCUCCAGCUUUUACUCCCUGAGUGAAUAAAUUAUUUCCACCCCCAGCCUCAGUUUUCUCAUCUGUAAAAUGGGGAUGGCUGGAGUACAGGAUUGCUGGAAGAUUCAAUGAUUCGGCUCCUGCAGACAGUUUGCACUCCACACACGGCGCAGGCGCUGAACACAGCUUCUCCCUCUUCCUUUUCCGGAAACUCCUUCUAUUCCUGCUUCUCCUGCCGCCGGAGAGCACAGUGGCCUCCUCCAGGAAGCCACCUUGACUUUUACUCAGACCUCUCCCUUUGUGCCAGGCACUGUGCUUUUCCCACAGCCUCUCUCACAGGGUCUCUCCUCGACACAACUGGCACCUGACGCUCUUGUCCUUUUGAAAACAAGGAAACAGAGGGUCAGGGAAGUAACUGGUACCUAGUGCUGUUAGGGCCCCGCCCCUUGCAGAUGAGGAGACAAAGGGCCAGGGAGGCAGUGGGAUGGAUAUGUUGAGGUCGCCAGGAAAAGACAGCCUGAUGUGCACCUGGAGCUGUCUCUGAAGGUCUCACAGAACCUGGCACAGCGUCAGGUAACCCGGCUGCCUCUCCUGCCACACCCACCAACCCCAGAGCCCACACCUUGGCACAGAAGGAAGAGAUCCAGGCUGGUGCUGGGUCGUAAUAUCCCAGGGAAAGGGCCUUGAGGUCAGCGGCCCGUUCUGCCCUGUGCCUGGGAGGAAUGUUCGUGGUGGCCCCAGCCUGGAUCCGAGAAGAAAGGCAGCCUUGUGGGCGAAAGUGAGGCCUGGCAUUUUCUUCCCGCUCCCCAUGCUGGCACGUGACACAGCCCCGGGCACAUGGGAGGAACGUGAUAAAUGCUAAUGGAUGGCCCGGGAACGCCCUGUCCUCCACCAAGGUCCUGAAGUCUGAGCAGUGGUUGGUGACGGAAGACCUGGAUGCGAAAAGCCGACCACCAGAGUCAAGACCCAGAGAAAACAGCAGGUGCCUGAGGCAAGGAAGCCGGGAUUCCCAGACUCUGGCAGCCUGGCCCCAGCUGUCCCAGAGGGCACCCCGCCAGCCCCUGGGUCCACUCCACCCAGGGUCCAGCCCUGACUGCGCCAAUGGCAGCAAAGAUGGCAGGGACCCCAAGGGCAACUUCCCAACCACCAGCAGCAUUUAGGGAGCACCAACUGUGUACCCCACUCUGGACUGGGCAGCAUAGAGAUUGUACCGCAGUGAAUUCCUGGGGACCAGGGGUGGUGACUUCAUUGUCUUCCUGUCCCUAGAGCCCAGCACUGGCUACUCAUGGAUUCAAACAUUUAUGGUGCACCUACUGUGUACCAGUGACUAUGCUGAGUGCAUCUGCCUGCCAAGAGAGGGAAUUUCUGGACCAUAUAUUUAGGGAGGGGAGGAAGACAGUGCACUUUCUUUUUUUUUUUUUAAUCUUUUGUUGUUGUUGUUGUUGAGAUGGAGUCUCACUUUGUCGCCCAGGCUGGAGUGCAGUGGCACAAUCUCGGCUCACUGCAACCUCUGCCUCCUGGGUUCAAGUGAUUCUCCUGCCUCAGCCUCCAAAGUAGCUGGGAUUACAGGCGCCUGCCAACAUGCUUGGCUAAUUUUUAUGUUUUUAGUAGAGACAGGGUUUCUCCAUGUUGACCAGGCCAGUCUCGAACUCCUGACCUCAGGUGAUCCACCCGCCUCGGCCCCCCAAAGUGCUGGGAUUACAGAUGUGAGCCGCCACGCCCGGCCGAGAGUGCACUUUUCUAUCAAAGUUUUUUUUUUUUUUUUUUUUAACUGAAAGCAGUCUUUUCGUAAGUAAAUAAACAUAAAGAAUUCCCAAGUUAAGCCGGGAGCGGUGGCUCAUCCCUGUAAUUCUAGCGCUUUGGGAGGCCAAGAUGGGAGGAUUGCUUGAGCCUGGGAGUUUGAGACCAGCCUGGGCAACAU